GUGGAUGUCGAGAAGUGGACUUUACACCGAAGAAAAGUCACUUUAUAGCCACAUUUUAUUAUAUAUUUUCUUUAAUUACAUUUUAUGUUCGACAUCGCUGUUAUACAGUGGAUGCAUUACACUGGGGAAGUAAUAUCAUAAAGCCUUGGCGGAUUUUUUGCGCAAAUAAAGAGUUUUCUGAACACAUAAUAGCCAGCCAGUCUCUCUCCCAUCAGCCUGAUACGGGCCUGCACCAAACAUUCACCCACAAUAACUACGGGGGGACUUCCCACCGAGAGACACCGAGCAGCCGAGGAUAUCACCGGGAGCUGCAGAGAGCACAGACCCGGAGAAGAGGAGGGAUGGAGGGGGAAGAAGGCUCACAUAGGCCGCUUCUGCUCCUGGAGACUUUCACUUGCAAGGAGAAGUGAGAGAAGAAAAGUAUGAAGAUUUCGAUCAGAGGAAGCGGCUGCAUGGAUCAUAACCCCGGAUUUGUUUUCACAACCAAACUGCAGAGGAAAAGUUUUGCUGUGUGGAGGAACUGCAACACACUCAGGAGUUCGCCCAACAAACAAACAGAUGCAAUUAAACACACUCGCCUUCAGAUCAUCAAUGAGGAGAGCAAAGUCAAGACUGGUGGAGGAGAAAAAACCCACAAGGACGAAUGUAAGACGGGAGAAGACUCUGCUGCCUCAAGGUUAAACUGGAACUGUGUUAAGACUUGAGAGAAUCUGGAUAGUUCUUCUGCAAACACAAAUCACAAGCUGUUUUCCUAUUAAACAUCCUCACUUUAAACCUCCUAAUUGAUGUUAUAUUUUGAUGUCUUUCCUAAACAUAUUCUUCUGUUUCUGCUCUGCCUCCACACUGUCUUGGAAGUAAUUAAAAGAUAAAUUACAAAUAAAGACUAUAUCAUUGUGAAACCAGCAUCCUGCUCUCUUGCUGUCUCCCCCUGCACCUUCAGUAGCCUUCUCCUCUGUGUGCUGAGGUGUCUGCAUGGCGUGGUAAAACCUGCCCUGCAGACCGGACCUCUCAAGUCUUCAAAGGAGUAGGAACUCAAUGUGGGGGAUUUGUUCAGGCUUAUUUGGUAACCUAGGAUUUGAAUUGGAUUCUGGGAGGCAUUCAUAACACAUUUGAAAAUGUUACAUUGUGUGAUUUUGUGUGUAAUCCCCAUAAUAAAUUUUAGAAAUGGUCACAGCACUUGCACAACUGUGACUAUUCAUGAUUUAUCAAAUGGUUUUCUUGUCUUGCCUCUCGGGGGUGAGUGAGGUGUGUGUUACCGGCAGGGAACGGGACGAUCUCGACCGUUGGUGAGGAGACGAUUCCUACGUUUUUUAACGUUUUAACCCCUUCUCUCAACA